rnacentral:rRNA from 1 species
CCUACGUGUGGCAGCAGUGGGGAAUAUUGCACGAUGGGGGAACCCCUGAUGCAGCGACGCCGCGUGAGCGCAGAAGUAUUUCGGUAUGUAAAGCUCUAUCAGCAGGGAAGAAAAUGACGGUACCUGACUAAGAAGCUCCGGCUAAAUACGUGCCAGCCGCCGCUGUAAUACGUAUGGAGCAAGCGUUAUCCGGAUUUACUGGGUGUAAAGGGAGCGUAGGCGGUCAGGCAAGUCUGAUGUGAAAGGCCAGGGCUCAACCCUGGGACUGCAUUGGAAACUGUGUAACUGGAGUGGCGGAGAGGCAAGUGGAAUUCCGAGUGUAGCGGUGAAAUGCGUAGAUAUUAGGAGGAACACCAGUGGCGAAGGCGGCGUGCUGGACGAUGACUGACGCUGAGGCUCGAAAGCGUGGGGAGCAAACAGGAUUAGAUACCCUUGUAGUC